rnacentral:tRNA from 1 species
GACAUUUUAACUAUAAAAGUAUAUAUUUUGAAAAUAUAAAAAAGAUUCUCAAUCUAAAUGUCU